UACUCUCAACCCCUCUCACUUUGUUGAUUGAUGAGGUGGAUUGGAUGUGGAGGUUGCUGGAUGCUUUUAUUGCAAUCAGCUCUUCUGAAAUGUAUUAGCAGUAGUACCGUUGACUGGGCUUGCUAGACUUGUGAUAAUAUCUAUGGUCUUCUUGCUGGGUAGAGGUCGGGUUUUGAAGGGUUGCUUUUUUAUGAGAGCUCUCUUUGCCUUCUCUUGAAAGAGAGAUAACUAUGCGACUCUAUCAGAUGGCUGCAGCUUCUAAUCGUCUGCAACAAGACAAACCUCACUGACU
rnacentral:misc_RNA from 1 species